UACGAAGGGGGGCUAGCGUUGUUCGGAAUUACUGGGCGUAAAGCGCACGUAGGCGGAUUGUUAAGUUAGGGGUGAAAAUCCCAGGGCUCAACCCUGGAACUGCCUUUAAUACUGGCAAUCUCGAGUCCGAGAGAGGUGAGUGGAAUUCCGAGUGUAGAGGUGAAAAUUCGUAGAUAUUCGGAGGAACACCAGUGGCGAAGGCGGCUCACUGGCUCGGUACUGACGCUGAGGUGCGAAAAGCGUGGGGGGAGCAAAACAGG
rnacentral:rRNA from 1 species